CUGUGUGGCCCUGUGACCCGCAGAUAUUGGGAGAUACACGGCUAAGACUCCAGGACCCCCUGGAAGCCUAGAAAUGGUGAGAGUGCCGAGUCUGACAUCCCGAGAGAGGGGGAGGGGCUGGUCGGAACCGUGGGAAGUGGCCGUGGCGGACUUAGGUCUCCCGGCAGUCAGCUCCACAAUCUGCGCCCGGAAUUCUCCUUGCCCAGCUCGGCUUCAGUCCCCUUCAGCCAUAAGAUGGCGACUGUGCUGACAGCCGGGCCCCGGGCGUCCUGUCUUCCUUCCGCAGUGACUGUGCCUGACGUGUAGCCCUGUCUGGGGAGCUCUGCACGCGCAAUUCCGCAGUCUCUCCCAGAUUGUGCAAGAACCAUGGGAGGGGCGUCAGGCAUAGAGAUUUUAUGAGAAUGUUUUGGCAUCAAGGUUUUUCUUGGAAUUUUUGUGGGGUGAUGUGUCCUCAGCCACCCUUUAGUUUUUUUCCUGGUCCUGGGUUCCAGUACUGUCUGUGAAUAAACCAAGAUAUCAGUCAUGGCUAUGUCUGCAA
rnacentral:sRNA from 1 species